AGUAUUGGGUUGGCCAAGAAGUUUGUUCAGAUUUUUCUGUACCAUCUUACAGAAAAACCUGAAUAAACUUCUUGGCCAACCCAGUAUAU
rnacentral:miRNA from 1 species